UACAGAGGGUGCAAGCGUUAAUCGGAAUUACUGGGCGUAAAGGGCGCGUAGGUGGUUGAUUAAGUCAGAUGUGAAAACCCUGGGCUUAACUUAGGAAUUGCAUUUGAAACUGAUCGACUAGAGUUUGGGAGAGGGAAGUGGAAUUUCCGGUGUAGCGGUGAAAUGCGUAGAUAUCGGAAGGAACAUCAGUGGCGAAGGCGGGUCUCUGGACAGUUCCUGACGCUGAGGCACGAAGGUCAGGGGAGCAAACGGG
rnacentral:rRNA from 1 species